rnacentral:rRNA from 1 species
UAGAUACCCGCGUAGUCCAUGCCGUAAACGAUGUGUGCUAGACGUUGGAAAUAUAUUUUUCAGUGUCGCAGCGAAAGCAUUAAGCACACCGCCUGGGGAGUACGACCGCAAGGUUAAAACUCAAAUGAAUUGACGGGGACCCGCACAAGCAGUGGAGCAUGUGGUUUAAUUCGAAGAUACGCGCAGAACCUUACCAACACUUGACAUGUUCGUCGCGAGACUAAGAGAUUAGUCUUUUCAGUUCGGCUGGACGAAACACAGGUGCUGCAUGGCCGCCGUCAG